GAGCGCUACGGGGGGCAGCAGUGGGGAAUAUUGCACAAUGGGGGAAACCCUGAUGCAGCAACGCCGCGUGAGUGAAGAAGUAUUUCGGUAUGUAAAGCUCUAUCAGCAGGGAAGAAGAAAGACGGUACCUGACUAAGAAGCCCCGGCUAACUACGUGCCAGCAGCCGCGGUAAUACGUAGGGGGCGAGCGUUAUCCGGAUUCACUGGGUGUAAAGGGAGCGUAGACGGCCAAGCAAGCCAGGGGUGAAAGUCCGGGGCCCAACCCCGGGACUGCCCUUGGCACUGCUUGGCUGGAGUGGGGGAGG
rnacentral:rRNA from 1 species